rnacentral:rRNA from 1 species
UGGGGAAUAUUGGACAAUGGGGGGAACCCUGAUCCAGCCAUGCCGCGUGUGUGAAGAAGGCCUUAUGGUUGUAAAGCACUUUAAGCGAGGAGGAGGGUACUGGUAUUAAUACUACCAGGUACUGGACGUUACUCGCAGAAUAAGCACCGGCUAACUCUGUGCCAGCAGCCGCGGUAAUACAGAGGGUGCGAGCGUUAAUCGGAUUUACUGGGCGUAAAGCGUGCGUAGGCGGCUAAUUGAGUCGGAUGUGAAAUCCCCGAGCUUAACUUGGGAAUUGCAUUCGAUACUGGUUAGCUAGAGUGUGGGAGAGGAUGGUAGAAUUCCCGGUGUAGCGGUGAAAUGCGUAGGGAUCUUGAGGAAUACCGAUGGCGAAGGCAGCCAUCUGGCCUAACACUGACGCUGAGGUACGAAAGCAUGGGGAGCAAACAGG